rnacentral:rRNA from 1 species
CUACGGGCCGCUCCAGUGGGGAAUAUUGGACAAUGGGGGAAACCCUGAUCCAGCAAUGCCGCGUGUGUGAAGAAGGCCUGCGGGUUGUAAAGCACUUUCGGUUGGGAGGACUGCUUCUAGCACUAAUAUUGUUGGAAGUUGACGUUACCUUCAGAAGAAGCACCGGCUAACUCCGUGCCAGCAGCCGCGGUAAUACGGAGGGUGCAAGCGUAAUCGGAAUUACUGGGCGUAAAGCGGGCGUAGGCGGCUAGAUCAGUCGGGUGUGAAAGCCCCGGGCUUAACCUGGGAACUGCAUCCGAUACUGUCUAGCUUGAGUACAGGAGAGGAGAGUGGAAUUCCACAUGUAGCGGUGAAAUGCGUAGAUAUGUGGAGGAACACCAAUGGCGAAGGCAGCUCUCUGGCCUGAUACUGACGCUGAGGUGCGAAAGCGUGGGGAUCAAACAGGAUUAGAUACCCUUGUAGUC